rnacentral:rRNA from 1 species
GGAUCCCAUCAGAACUCUGAAGUUAAGCGUGCUUGGGCGAGAUUAGUACUAGAUUGGGUGACCUCCUGGGAAGUCCUCGUGUUGCAUUCCUUUUUUUUUGCGUACUCAUGAUAGACAUGACGCACGUUGUCGUCGAUAUAUAUUAACACGUUAUUUAAUUUUUGACGUCGCGAUACGUUUUAAGCUCGCCUGAAUACUCACGCGCCUAGGGGCGCGAAAAGCGCGCGCAAAUGGUGGAAAAUACGCGUUGCGCGAUAGAGGGAGGGGUGGAAUCCAUGGCAAACUCGUCUCCGUAGUAGAGCGGGAGCAUAGUAGUGUAGGGCAUCAUCCAUCGUAAGGGAACGGUCGUAACGGAGUAAGAACGUGCAACGUGUUUGCGU